rnacentral:rRNA from 1 species
UGGGAGGUAAAUUUCUCCUAAGGCUAAAUACAGGCGAGAGACCGAUAGCGAACAAGUACCGUGAGGGAAAGAUGAAAAGAACUUUGAAAAGAGAGUUAAACAGUACGUGAAAUUGUUAAAAGGGAAACGAUUGAAGCCAGUCGUACCGACGGGAAAUCAACUUCUGGAGCGCUUGUCGUGGGUAACUUUGAGCUUCGCGGCCUUUGUUGCUUUGCGUUAUGGUGCUUUUGGAGUGUACUUUUCCGUAUGGUAGGUCAAUAUCGAUUUUGAUCGUCAUAAAAUGAUCGGAGGAAUGUGGCUUCGAUCUCGUAUCGGAGUGUUAUAGCCUUUGGUAGAUGUGACGAUUGGGAUCGAGGAUUGCAACGAAUACCCUUUGGGCUAUCCGUCUGACCUCUGAAAGUCGCUCGAGUGUCGAAAGCUUGCUUAUGGCAUUCUAGUUGGCGGUCAAAAGGUUAGAACGCGAUUACAUUCGUUAAGGAUGUUGACGUAAUGGCUUUAAACGACCCGUCUUGAAACACGGACCAAGGAGUCUAACAAAUAUGCGAGUGUUCGGGUGAUCAAACCCUUACGCGUAAUGAAAGUAAUUCAGGUGGGAUUGCGCUCGUCGCGUGCACCAUCGACC